rnacentral:SRP_RNA from 1 species
UGUGCUAAGCGGGAUAGUUUGCGGAAUCCUGUAAUCUACAUCGCUUUAGUAGAGCCGAAUUCUCUUCUAUAGGGGCUUGAGUCUGCCUUAAAAGCAGUCCUUGUAUGGGUCGUGUUGAAAAUCGAACUCUGUACAAUGGUAGUCCGUGAACCCCGUCAGGUUCGGAAGAAAGCAGCGGUAAGCGGAUUUUCACCAUGUGCUACAGAGAGGUCGGUUGGAGCGAUUUAUAUG